rnacentral:rRNA from 1 species
UACGUAGGGCGCGAGCGUUGUCCGGAAUUAUUGGGCGUAAAGAGCUCGUAGGCGGCCUGUUGCGUCCGCUGUGAAAUCCCGGGGCUCAACCCCGGGCUUGCAGUGGAUACGGGCUGGCUAGAGGCAGGCAGGGGGAGAACGGAAUUCCCGGUGUAGCGGUGAAAUGCGCAGAUAUCGGGAGGAACACCGGUGGCGAAGGCGGUUCUCUGGGCCUGUACUGACGCUGAGGAGCGAAAGCGUGGGGAGCGAACAGG